UUCCUCCACCACCUGGAUCUCAGUUCACUCCUGUUCCAAGACCUUAUGCUCCUCACCCUCAUCCAUCAUCAGGGAUGAUGCCUAUGAUGCAUCCACCACCUCCGCCUCAAGGAGUGCCCCCACCGCCGCCACCUGAGGAAGCUCCUCCCCCGCUUCCAGAGGAACCAGAACCGAAGAGGCAGAAACAUGACGAUUCUGCUCUGAUCCCUGAGGAUAAAUUUCU
rnacentral:lncRNA from 1 species